rnacentral:tRNA from 3 species
GGUUGUGUAGUGUAGUGGUUAUCACUUUGGAUUUUGAUUCCAAAAACCCCGGUUCGAAUCCGGGCACGACCU